GGGGGAGAGAGAGAAGGAUAGGAAGGGAGAGAGACGGCUUACAGAGAGGAGGGAGGGAAAAGAGAGAAAGACCAGGACUUACCUCAUCUACAACGGUAGUCAGAAGCCUCGAAUCCUAAUCCUAGCCAUAGACCGGGGUCUGACAUGUCAGUGAGGGCCUCCAUGUCGUCGAUUGAGGGUGGCAGUGUCAUCUUCAAUGUCGAUUGAGGAUGAUAGCAUCAUCUGCAGCGUCAGGAUGACAAAUCGUCUUCGGCGUUGUUUGAAGCAUGGUCUCAAAUCCCAUUGGAAUGUACUGUAGGACACUAGGAUAGGGUACCAUUUUGAGUGU
rnacentral:lncRNA from 1 species